GGCUCCUGCUUUGCCGUGGUAAGACGUGCUUGCUUCCUUUUCGCCUUCUGCUGUAAUUCUAAGUUUCCUGACGCCUCCUGGUCAUGCUUCCUGUUAAACCUGUGGAACUGUCUUGUUUCAGUGAGAAUGUAAAGUACGUGCACUAUGUGCUUUGUGAUGAAGUCGUUGAUUUAUUUCACUUUGGAACAAGCACACCACAACAAAGUGAGAAUGAGAAGAUGGAGUCUCACUCUGUUGCCGGAGCUGGAGUGCAGUGGCACGAUCUGUGCUCACUGUAACCGCUGCCUCCAGGUUCAAGCAAUUCUUUUGCCUCGGCCUCCCGAGUAGCUGGGACUACAGGCAAGCGCCACCACGCCUGGCUAAUAUUUGUAUUUUUAGUAGAGAUGGAGUUUUACCAUAUUGACCAGGCUGCUUGCGAAGUCCAGACCUUGUGGUCAGGCUGGUCUCGAAUUUCUGAUCUCAUGAUCCUCCUGCCUCGGCCUCGCAAAGUGCUGGGAUUACAGGCGUGAGCCACUGUGCCUGAUUCUUUACUUUCUUAAUAAACUUUCACUUUACUCU